rnacentral:rRNA from 1 species
UACGGAGGGUGCAAGCGUUGUCCGGAUUUAUUGGGUUUAAAGGGUGCGUAGGCGGCCGAUUAAGUCAGCGGUGAAAUCCCGGGGCUCAACCCCGGAACUGCCGUUGAUACUGGUUGGCUUGAGUUCGGUCGAGGCGGGCGGAACUGGUGGUGUAGCGGUGAAAUGCAUAGAUACCACCAAGAACCCCGAUUGCGAAGGCAGCUCGCUGGGCCGAAACUGACGCUGAGGCACGAAAGCGCGGGGAGCGAACAGG